rnacentral:rRNA from 1 species
GACGAACGCUGGCGGCGUGCUUAACACAUGCAAGUCGAACGGAAAGGCCUGCUUUCCCUUGUGGAUUGCGGGUACUCGAGUGGCGAACGGGUGAGUAACACGUGAGUGAUCUGCCCCCAACUUGGGUAUAAGCCUGGGAAACUGGGUCUAAUUCCCGAUAGGACUGCAGGGUGGUGCCUAUGGUGGAAAACGAUUUUCUAGUGGUUGGGGAUGAGCUCGCGGCCUAUCAGCUUGUUGGUGGGGUAAUGGCCUACCAAGGCGGCGACGGGUAGCCGGCCUGAGAGGGUGGACGGCCACAUUGGGACUGAGAUACGGCCCAGACUCCUACGGGAGGCAGCAGUGGGGAAUAUUGCACAAUGGGCGGAAGCCUGAUGCAGCGACGCCGCGUGGGGGAUGACGGCCUUCGGGUUGUAAACUCCUUUCGACCGCGAGGAAGCCACCUGGUUGGAAGGGUGGUGACGGUAGUGGUAGAAGAAGCACCGGCUAACUACGUG